AAUUACAUUUGGCAGACUGUAAAAUUGCAGGGACAAUGCCCGCUUGGUUUGGGAAUAUUUCAUCUUCUACCAUCACAUAUUUAGACCUUUCCAACAACCAAAUAGGAGGGAAGCUGUCAUCUUCUUUCAAGUUCACCAAGUUAGAAACAUUAUCUUUGGACUCCAACAGAUUUGAAGGUCCAUUGCCAACGAUGCUACCGUCUACACUUCAAACUCUAUACCUCUCCGAUAAUUCCUUUACAGGGCAAUUGCCGAUAUGGCCCCAUGUUCAAUCAGUGGCACUCUCGGAUAAUAUGCUUGAUGGUGGCUUAUCUUCAUCAAUCUGCCAAUGGACAUAUCUUAAAUUUCUUGACCUUUCGAACAACAAAUUAUUUGGUGAGAUACCAAAAGGAAUUGGAGACCUUAUAGGACUCAAUAACUUAAAUUUGUCAAGAAAUCAUUUACAAGGAAAAAUUCCUUGGGAGAUAGGAGGAAUGGAAUCAUUAGAAUCCCUUGAUCUAUCGAUAAAUGAUCUUUCUGGUAGCAUUCCUGAGAGCUUAUUGACUUUAUAUUCCUUGAGCUACUUGAAUUUAUCAUAUAAUAAUCUUUCGGGAAUGAUACCAACUGGUUAUCAACUCCAAACACUCAAUGAUCCAUCCAUUUACAUGGGCAAUGCCGACUUAUGUGGACCACAAAUUUUCAAAAAUUGUUUUAUGCAAGAGUACAAAAAGGAGAUUUCCGAGUGGUUAUGGUUCUAUAUUAGCAUGAUACUAGGAUUUGUGAUGGGAUUUUGGAUAUUUUGUGGUAUUCUCUUCCUCAAAGACGCAUGGAGGCAUGCUUAUUUCCAUAUCAUUGAUGAUAUGUAUGAUUGGGUUUGGGUGCAAUGGCAAUUAAUUCUUCGACGAUUGUUGAGACGUUAAUCCUAAACUUCUAGUGUGGAUGAUCCCGAGCUUCACGGUAGCUGAGGAAAAUGUAUGUCAUCACUCUACUUUUUAUUUAUAUGGUAUUUUGGAUUCCUAGCAGCUAGCUGUGAUCAAUGAAAAAAGCAUUUGUAUUGUUGAUCUAAGAAAGGAUGGGCUGCUAUAUUUAUGGUCUUCUUCUAUUUGAUGUUUGCAUAAUUAUAACAUCAUGCAAGAGUUGGCUCAUAGUUUUAAAGCAGAGAAAUAUUACAAAAAGAAGAGAACUACAACCAAGUCUUUCGUAUGAAGAUAUAGUUUAAAAAUAUGCUAUAUUGAUUUUAAAGGAACAAACACAUUACUUUCGAAAUAAUAAUAAAUUAGAGGAAGAGAGGGGUGGCUUUGGCAGGGGAAGAAAAGAGGAGAAAAAAAAAAAAAAGGAGGUGUGAGAUUUAAUAAGGAUGUUGUUUUUAUUUCAAGAGAGUAAGUUUAAAAUUUGAAAGAGUAUAUAUAUGUAUGAUUUUGAAUUCCUAUUCAUUCCCUACCAAUGAGAGAGUAAAUAGAGCUAUAGAUUAAUUAUUCUAAAAUUAUUGAGUAUCUUGUGAUUUUAGAGAAAAAAAUAGUCAUUCUCACAUAAGAAAGAAAAUAUUAUGAUUGUUUAUUGGAUUGGUUUAUAUUAUUCGAAUGAUUUAGAAAAGGAGAGUUUUGAUUACCAUAUCAGUUAUAAUAAUAUAUGAUUAACAUAAGUAUCGAAUGAUUAUGUCUAACUUGUUUUCUAAUUUAAUAAUAUAUUUGUUAAUAAUGAAGUUAUGUGAUUUGAAAAUGUUAAAUUGGUUUUUGAAAAUAAGCUUUUUGAUAUUGCAUUUGUUUAAAAUAUUAGAAUAUUCAAUUAUUAUAUUUUCCAAUGCUAUAUUGUUGAACAUAUUUCAAAUAAGGUGUCCAUAUGUUACUUUAGAUGAUGGUUAAUUGUUCUCAAUUAGUUGGUUUUGAUUUAGACUUUAUCAAUUGUUGUUGUUCUAACAUAGAGAUAAAUGUAUUACCUAUAUCAUGGAGAUUAAAUGUGAUUUUGAUCCUUGUCAUCACCAGGAUACAAUAUGGUCAUAGCCAUUAGCACUUGGACUUCUAUUUUAAUAUAUGCCCUUUGUUAUAGUCAUGACCAUCAAUGAAUUUAGAUAUGAAGGCUUAGUUAUACUUAUACUGAUUCAUGAUUGAUUAAUAAUAAUCUUGGCAUUAAAAUGAAAUCUAUACACUUAUGUUUUUCUAUGCAAAUGUAUUAAAAAAUUAUGGUGUCUUAUGUGCUUAUUAAGCUAAAAAGUUGUGAUUUGAAAAGCAUGUAAAGAUAUGUUUGCUCUUUAUAUAAUUGUAUAGUUUUAUAAAAUGCAUCCAUGAGAAGUUUUGCUAAUAUAUGAUUUUUGGUGUUUACUAAGAUGUGGUUGCUCAUAUCCCUGUUGUUAAAAUUUUUCAGAUGCCUGCGAGUAUAUUGAAUUUGGUUAUGUAUCAAGACAACAAAUUAUAUUGUUUAUGGUUCAAACUCUUGAGACUUGUGAUGUAAUAAUCCAUUAGUGAGAUGUCUUUGGUGAACUUAUUUGUAUUUGAGAGCUCAAUAUGUCGCUGCUGGAUAUUAUAUGGAUGUAUAUGUUUUGUAUUGUGUCAAGUGCAUGUAUUUGGAUUUAAGUUGCGUACAAGUUUAAGCCUUGCAAUUCUCAUAUGAAAACUUGUGGAACUGUGGUUAAAAUAUUAUGACAUAUGUUGUGAUGAUGAAUGAUUAAGAGAGCGAGAUGUUGACAACAACUCUGCCAUCACCUUCAAAACCCUUAGUUUCUAUCGUCUUUAGCUUUAUGGAAUAAUAAAAAUGAUAACCUAACACAGCUCUAUCGGUUAAGCCUUAACCAAUGAGAGUUGUAUGCUCGAAUAGGCAGGAGAAGUUUGACCGAAUUGGCAGCCAAUAGCAUGGACAUGAAUCAAUAGCCAAUAGAUGGAUACAGUUGCCCAGAAGGUGAGUUCUUCAAUACAUAAAAUCUAAAAAUCUAAAAAUACAUAAGUAUUUUUCACAUCUUGUUAUCUCUCUUAAAAUCUAAAAAUACAUAAAAUAUCUAUAGAAGAAAUAAACCUCUUCAAUACAACUCCUAAGUUAUUAACAUUCUAACCCCUUUAAUAGAGCGCUAAUUUAAUGAUAAGAUUAACCCAAGUCAUUCCUCCACUCUAUAUCAAGUUUUUCUAAUCAAAACAAAUAUUAAUAGACUAUGAGUAGAAAAUAAAGUAAUGUUAAAUGCAACUUUUACUCUGUCACUCCAACGCAUCUCUAUAUUAUGCCAAAGGCAUGAAUUGGGCAUCCAACUAACAAUAACUCCACUCUCUCUCUCUCUCUCUCUAUGUGUGUAUAUUCUUAAUAGGUGGCAUACAUUUAUGUAUAUAUAUUCUUCAAAUCUUGCUCUCUCUCUCUCUCUCUCUCUCUCUCUCUCUCUUAAAAUCGAUAGAUAUAUGAUAUUUAUAAAAGAAACAAACCCCUUCAAUUAUGUUUCAAUUUAGUGGUAAAACUGAUCCAAAUCAUUCGUCUACUCUAUAUUAGGUUUUUGUAGUAAAACAAAUAUUAAGAGACUAGCAAAAAAUAAAGUAUGUUAGACGUAAAUGUUGACUCUGUCAUGUCUUUGUAGUAAAACAAAUAUUAAGAGAUUAGUAAAAAAUAAAGUAUAUUAAACAUAAAUGUUGACUCUGUCACUCCAAAUCAUCUCCACAUUAUGCCAAAGCCAUGAAUUGGACAUUCAACUAACAUCUUUUGAUUAUUUAAUUUUGGAUUGAAGUAGUAAGAGUCGUUUAUUAUGUUAUUAAUCAAUCUCUCUCAAUAGUGAUUAACUUGAUGUGGAUUGAUAAGCUAGUUGAUUAUUCUUCCUUAUCACAUCACAUAGUAUUUACAUCUUUUGAUUAUUCAAUUUUCAUGUGUUAAGACUCUUAUCUUAUUCGGCCAAGUAUAUAUAUAUAUAUAUAUAUAUAUAUAUAUAUAUAUAUAUAUAUAUAAUUCCUAAAGUUUCAAUGUAGACUCAACUACCUUGAUUUGUUUUACGAUUAUUGUUCUUUGUUAAAUUAGAAUUUGAUUACAUAAUAUAUGGAUUGGAUUCAAAGGCAACCAAUGUCCAUUUUGGAAAGAAUUUCUAUCUUAAUCCUUUUUAAAUCUACUCAAAGAAAUUUAAGAACACCCAAAUGUUUGCCUGUGUAUCUCUCUCAUCGAGAUCUUAGAUUUAUGGUAUAUGUACCAAAAUAAUUUCUAAUUUAUUAAAAAUUAAUUUUUCUAUUUAGAACUCUAAUCUAAAUUCUAAUUUACAGCGAGUCAAAGUCUUCUUGGCUAGCGACGUGUAGAAAAAGAAUCCAUGGAAUGCACAAUCAAAUUUAAAGAAGACGACCCCACGCCUGUGCUUAUCCCACUUAUUGAGACCGAUGCUAUCAGUUUCCAAAAUUCUAUUUGAUCAUGGAUAAUGGGUACCAUCCACAAUAUGGUGGUAUGUGGCACAAUAUCAAAAGAACAAUCAAGAGAAUUAAUAAGGGAACAUAUACUCAAAAUAACUUUUAUAAAAUUUAUGUGGUCAAGCAUUUGUAUUCUUCAUUAUGCAAAAAUGUAAGGAAUAAAUCUAUCUAUCUCAGGAGUCACUCCAAAAGAGUCUAGUAAGUGUUUUUCUUUGGCACUUUAUCAAAACGUAGGUAAGAAACACUUGAGGAUUUCUUUCAGUCAGUUAACUGUUUCUGAGUCAAAGUGGUGUAGUCUCGAUCCAUUCUAUGCAUACUUUGCUUCACGCUCAUGAUCCGCAUGUUGCUCUGCAUCAUAACGACUCUAAUUUUAAAAAUUUUAAAACCCUUUCAAUAUGACUCUAAUUUAGUAGUAAAAUCGAUCCAAGUCAUCCGUCUACUCUAUAUCAGGUCUUCCUAGUAAAACAAAUAUUAAGAAACUCUAGCAGAAAAUAAAGUAUGUCAGACAAACGUUGAUUCUGGCACACCAAAUUAUCUCUACAUUAUGCCAAAGUCAUGAAUUGAACAUCUGACUAACAUCUUUUGAUUAUUCAAUUUUGGGUGGGUUAUAGUAAGAAUCGUCUGUUAUAUUAUUAAUCAAUCUCUCUUAAUAACGAUUAACCUAAAGAUGCAUAGUAAGAUUGAUAAGUCAGUUGAUUAUUCUUUCUUAUCGGGUGUGUCUAUUUCUUUUGAUUAUUCAAUUUCAUGUAUUGAACUCAUAUAUUAAUUUUUAUAUCGGGUCACAUAGGGUCUAAAGUUUCAACAUACACUAAACUACCUUAAUUUGUUGUUCGUACAUCUGCAUGUUCAAGCAAGUUUGUUGCCCAACACAACCUUGAUUUCUUUUAAGAUUAUUGUUCUUUGAUAAAUCAGUAUAAAAAUUAUUUUCAUUAGUUAAUCCAAAUUGAAGUCUGAAAUUUCUUAUAUGCUAUUUCACAUAUGUCCGAAAGGAUUUUUAUCUUAAUCCUUUUUAAAUCUACCAAGAGAAAUUUAAGAACACCCAAAUGUUUUCCUAUGUAUCUCUAUCAUCAAGAUAUUAGAUUUAUGAUAUAUUUACAGAAAUAAAUUCUAAUUUACUAAAAAAAUUAAUUUUUUUAUUUAGAUCUCUAAUCUUAAUUCUAAUUUACCGCAAGUCAAAGUCUUCUUGGCCAGCGAUGUGUAGAAAAAGAAUCCAUGGAAUGCACAAUCAAAUUUAAAGAAGACGACCCCACUUCUGUCAAACAGUGCUUAUCCUACUGAUUGAGACCGAUGCUGUCAGUUUCCAAAAUUCUAUCUAAUCAUAAAGUUUAAUUUAUUAUUCCAACCACACAUAUUUACUAUUUUGCACCCAAGUUAUUUCGGUCAGUCAACUGUUUCUGAGUCGAGGUGGUGUAGUCUCGAUCGAUUCUAUGCAUACUUGGCUUCACGUUCAUGAUCCACAUGAUGCUCUGCAUCAUAACCACUGGUUCCGUCCAUCCCAACUCUUACCCCUUUCGUCACAUAUGAAGUCUCCGAUGGUGAAGGUGCUCUCCGCAUCGCCACGAAACUUGGAAUGGGCUGACAAGUCGAAGUCUUACCUCUUUCGUCACAUAUGAAGUCUUCUUUAGAGAACGGGUCGGUACAAUUAAUUGUGUGCAUCGGUUGGCUUACAAAUUUGUGAUUUGGAAUAGCGUAGCAUGCACCUUCGCCCUGUUCUUCUCAUCAUUCUUCUCGUCAUUGUUGUUGAGCCUGUUGGGCAUCCUCCUUCUCCACGGGGCAGAGGUGGCACGAGGGUGUUUUAGCAUGGAGAGGGAGGCGCUGCUGGACUUCAAAGCUGGUGUCGGAGACACCCGCAACCGGCUAUCUUCUUGGACAGGCCACCACUGUUGCACAUGGAAGGGAGUGGCCUGCGACACCACCACUGGCCACGUCGUCAUGCUGGACCUCCGAAACACAAAUACUACAGAUGAUUGGGCAAUUACGCGGUGAGGGGAUGAUGAACUCGUCAUUACUUGCUUUAUCUCAUCUGAAGCACUUGGAUCUUAGCUUCAAUAAUUUCAGCGGGAUCCGCAUACCGGAAUUCAUCGGCUCCUUCAAGAAACUGAGAUACCUCAAUCUAUCUUCUACACAAUUCAUGGGAGGAAUACCUGCUCGCGUGGGGAACCUUUCGAGCCUCUACGUUCUUGAUCUAAGCGAUGCUUUAUACGUCGAUGAUUAUGGCAACGGAUAUCCCGUCGACAACCUCGACUGGCUCUCCCAUCUCACGUCCUUGAAGCACCUGAACUUGAGCGGGUUGAACCUAAUCGAUGUCCCAGAUUGGUUCUCGGCGGUGAACAUGCUGCCGUCCCUCCAGGUGUUAAACAUGUCUUACGGUGGUCUCAAUAGCAUCCCGGUUUCUGUUGUCCACGUCAACUUCACCUCCUCUCUUACCGUCCUUGAUCUCCAUUAUUCUGGGUUCUAUGGCGUUAUUCCCGAUGCAAUUGGAGACUUGGGCAGACUGAAAGAAUUAUAUAUGCCGGGCAACCAAUUGACAGGAAAUUUGAGCGGUUGGUUGGAGCAAAUGACGAAUCUCAUCAUUUUGGAUCUCCGAUCUAAUUUAUUCAACUGUUCCAUGCCUUCUUCCGUUGGUAAGCUAUCUAAUCUCACUGAAUUGUAUCUCGGUGGAAAUUCUCUGAGAGGUAUCAUUUCAGAAGUUCAUUUUGAGAAUCUUACAAGAUUACAAGUAUUAGACUUGUAUGGUACCUCCAUCACCAUAUCAAUUGGCCAGAGUUGGGUCCCCCCUUUCCAACUCAGAUUAGUAGAUUUAACUAAAUGUCAGUUGGGACCUCAAUUUCCAGAAUGGUUGCAGUUCCAAACACAGAUCGAAGAAUUAUAUUUGGCAGACUGUAAAAUUGCAGGGACAAUGCCAGCUUGGUUUUGGAAUAUUUCAUCUUCUACCAUCACAUAUUUAGACCUUUCCAACAACCAAAUAGGAGGGAAGCUGCCAUCUUCUUUAAAGUUCACCAAGUUGGUAAUAUUAUUUUUGUAUUCCAACAGAUUUGAAGGUCCAUUGCCAACGAUGCUACCGUCUACACUUGAAACUCUAUACCUCUCCAAUAAUUCCUUUACAGGGCAAUUGCCGAUAUGGCCCCAUGUUAGAUUUGUGUCAAUCUCAGAUAACAUGCUCGACGGUGGCUUAUCUUCAUCAAUCUGCCAAUGGACAUAUCUCGAAUACCUUGACCUUUCGAACAACAAAUUACUUGGUGAGAUCCCUUAUUGUCUAGGGGAGUCAUUACAAAAUCCUCAUUUCUUGAAUUUGGCCAACAAUCACUUCUCGGGUGAAAUUCCACACACGAUCGGUUUUUUAAGUGAGCUUUUGCUAUUGCAACUGCAAAAUAACAGUUUUUCGGGUGAGGUUCCUUUGUCAUUGAAAAAUUGUACAAAUUUAUGGUGUCUUGAUCUGACUCAGAAUAAUCUUGUCGGAAGCAUAACGCUAUGGAUGGGAGAAAAUCUACAACAACUGGUAGUGCUUCGUUUACGUUCAAAUAUGUUUUCAGGAGUUAUUCCUUGGCAACUUGCUCGAUUUGAACGGCUUCAAAUAUUGGAUCUUGCGAAUAACAACUUCUCUGGUUCAAUACCUCACAACAUUGGUAAUUUAAAUAUUAUGAGAUCAACAUCACAACAUUAUGAAUUUUGUUCUAAU
rnacentral:lncRNA from 1 species